rnacentral:lncRNA from 12 species
GCACGGUAGCUGUGCUUCUGAGUUACACUCUCCAACAAGCCUGUGAGCACUUUCCAGACCAGCACCACCUCUCAUUUAGCCUUUCUUCCCUUUCAGAUUUUCCAGAUCUCUUGCCAUCUUGGUGACCCUCCAGCAGCUGGCAUUAAUUAGCCAAUGGUCUUGAAAGGGAUACCCAGCAAAGGAGUAAAAUUGGCAUGGAUAGUCUGGUUGGAGCUCCCUUUUCUGGGCAGUAUACUUCUAGAGAGUUGGAGCUCCAGACCACUACUCCGCAAAGACCACUCAGGGAACCGCAGCCCAGAGCCAGAGUCGAAAGACGAAGUGGAGUGGCCGACCCAGAGGAGAGAGAGUGACCAGGUGUCCUGGAGAAUUACCCAAGCACCUCUCCCUACUUCAGAGGAGGAGGACAAAGGCGGUAAAGGAGGUUCCACUGGGACCCUGUCAUCAGUGGGAACUGAGGAGGCAGCUAGAGCUAGGAGAGCAGCCACCUGAUGAGCUUCCCUCUCUCCCUCCUGCUGGCCUGGUCUGGAUUAAGUUCUUCGGGUUGUGUCACUGAGUUUGGUUGGGUCCCUGAAGACCUUCAGAAAAGCUAGAUCGGUCUUGGGUGACGUGCCUGCAGAAUUCAGCACGUUCAGUGAUGUGAAUUGGUAUCAGGACACGGGGCUUGAAGAAUACUGAGCUGUAAAGUCACUUGACGAGUAGAGACCACAGUCACACCUCUUCAAAUCUAUCAGGACUAAAACCCUCAGUUAUAUACCCAUAAAAAAAUUAAAACAUAACAAGUGCAACCCCAACAGUGACAACAAAACAUUAAAGAACUGAAGUGUGCUUCCUCUCCCUCUUGUCAAUGAAUAGGUUUUCUUAAUUGAACCAAGGCCAUCCGUCUAUUUGAACUAGGAAUCAGUCUCUGGGUUUGAUCAAGGAUUUUGUGAAAACUAAUGUAUCUACUAGAAAAGCCUUAGAAAUAGUACAAAAAGUCAAUCAUUUAUUUAAAGGCAUGCAUUUGAGGGGGCUCAAUGCAUGCUUUGAAAAUAGAACAGAAUAGAAUAGAAUAAAAUAGAAUGCUAAUAGGGCA